CCUACGGGGGGCUGCAGUGAGGAAUAUUGGUCAAUGGACGAGAGUCUGAACCAGCCAAGUAGCGUGAAGGAUGACUGCCCUAUGGGUUGUAAACUUCUUUUAUAUGGGAAUAAAAUGUUCCACGUGUGGGAUUUUGUAUGUACCAUAUGAAUAAGGAUCGGCUAACUCCGUGCCAGCAGCCGCGGUAAUACGGAGGAUCCGAGCGUUAUCCGGAUUUAUUGGGUUUAAAGGGAGCGUAGGUGGAUUGUUAAGUCAGUUGUGAAAGUUUGCGGCUCAACCGUAAAAUUGCAGUUGAAACUGGCAGUCUUGAGUACAGUAGAGGUGGGCGGAAUUCGUGGUGUAGCGGUGAAAUGCUUAGAUAUCACGAAGAACUCCGAUUGCGAAGGCAGUUCACUGGACUGCAACUGACAUUGAUGCUCGAAAGUGUGGGUAUCAAACAGGAUUAGAUACCCCAGUAGUC
rnacentral:rRNA from 1 species